AGGUAUUUGUAGGACCGAGCGAUGCUUUUACCCAGACUUGCAACUAGUUCGUCGUUUAACAAAAUCAUAACUGUAUCUCUAUAACAAAAUUCCUGUCACAUUCCAGCAGCGCCAAAUCUUGGAUCAAGAUUCAAUCAACACACACAGAGACUGAAGGUUGAAGAAGUAGAGUAGGAAUGGAGGUGGACGACGUGCCGCUGGACGAGAAGGCGAAGAGGAUGAGGGAUCUGCUGUCGAGCUUUCUACUCCCCUGACCCUUCGAUGUCGUCUCCCAACUCUAAUUCCUCGUCCAAGUGCGGCACUCUCGACGCCAUCAACUCCACCUCUUUCGAUCCCGACCAGUACAUGCAUCUCCUUGUACACAGGUCAAACUUGGAAGGGCUUCUACAGAGACACGUUGAAAUGGCUGCUGAGAUAAAGAAUCUUGAUACUGACUUACAAAUAAUGAAAAGUAAUAUUGUGGGCAUGGAGGCAAACAUGGAACAGCUCCUUGAGAAGAUAAUGUCUGUGCGAUCUAGAAGUGCUGGGGUUAACACUCGUCUUUUUGAGAAGAGGGAACACGCAACCUUCUUCGUAAAAUUCUGGCAUCAACUGAUCAGACGAAUAUCGAUCGACUUCUUCCCUUCAUGUUGGGAAUUACCAUUGCCAUGUUCUUUACUGUGCUUGCCAUCUUUAUCAUCGUAUGCCAAUAUUCAUGUCCCACUGUAUUCUUGCUGAUUCCGCUUGCUUGGCUUAAAGUCUGUUAUCGGGGUUAUUUUCUUGCAUCGUCUCGAGAGUUAACUUGACUCGAUUCAAUCACGAAAGCUCCUGUAAUCCAUCAUUUCUCAGAAAGCAUAUUAGGGGUCAUGACAAUUCGCUCUUUCAGAAUGCAAAACAUGUUCUCCAAGGAAAACAUUAAACGAGUUAAUGCCAACUUGCGUAUGGAUUUCCACAACUAUGGGUCCAAUGAGUGAUUGGGUUUCCGAUUGGAGAUGCCUGGGAGUUUACUUUUCUGCAUUUCCACUAUGUUCAUGAUCUUGUUGCCAAGCAGUAUUAUAAAGCCAGAGAAUGUUGGUUUAACUGUCUCCUACGGACUGUCCCUUAAUGGUGUGCUGUUCUGGGGUCAUAUAUUUUAGCUGCGUCGUUGAAAAUAGGAUGGUGUCGGUUGAGAGGAUAUAACAGUUUACAAACAUUCCAUCAGAAGCAUCAUGGAAGCUUGUAGACCGUGUUCCUCCUCCAAAUUGGCCUUCCCGUGGCCACUUUGAGCUCAAAGACUUGCAGGGUGUAAUAAAAUCUUGCAUUUUGAAAAAUAUGCCUAAAGAAUUCAUUCGAAAACCCGAAAACAAAAAGAUCGACAAACUUUCUCGUGUAAACUCACACAAUGGUAUGUGGAUGCAUGUAAUGUACGUAUAUAUUUUUUAUUUUCUUAUGCACCACCACGACAUUUAUUCUACCCGUAACUUGCAUGACCAAGCUCGAUUGCUAACCACUAUUAGACUAGACAUUAUUGACACAAAAUUCAAUUUGUAAAUUAAAAUUUUCAAAUUUAGCCUCCGUAGCACCAUAAAAAGAAUCCAACGAAAAAAGCCCAAAAAAAAAAAUUUCCGCUUAUAAAAAAGCCUUUACAGUUACAUCAUCACUCUCACGUCACUCCCUCUCUCACAUCACUCCCUCUCUCACUCUCGCAUCUUUUUUGUUUCAACCAAGCAACCCAGAAUGGCGUUUCGUGCCGGUAGCAUCGCUUACCUGUUAAGAAAAUUGAAGGGUGUUGUAAGAGGCGGAAGUGGAGGCGGUGCCCCGGCCAUGGCCCGAACACCGAAUGUCAAGUUAGAACUUGACAUUUCGGCGUCCCACUGAAAAGAUGUCGUUCGGGUGACCGCCCACCCAAACAACUAUCCGAUAGCGAAGCAGCUGAUGGCUGCUGCUCAGCCUGAGAGGACAGGGUUCAUAGAUUACCUUGCAUAGCUUAACUUGGCCUUCACAACCGGAGAGCUGGUCUCGCCGAGUUUUUCUGAAGGCUAAGGAAAGCGGAGUCAAUGAAACUGCAAAAGACAUUUUGAACAAUGAGGUGGAACAACAACUCCAGUAUUUACUUCGGGAGGCUGAAAAAAACUCAGAGAACAUGAAAUACCUCACAGAGGUAGUGGAGUAUGUUGCCAAACAGGCCUUACCAAAGGGAGUUCCUCCUCCUCCUGCUCGUCCUCCAGCAUCGCCGAAGGAGGGAGCCAAUGGCAAGAACGGUAACAACAAGUCGGAGGGCAAUGGUGCCGGAGCAAACGGUGAUCCUCCUGCCUGUCCUCAAGCAUCGUCGAAGGAGGUAACCAAUGGCAAGAACAGUAAUGGCAAGUCGGAGGGCAAUGGUGGCGGAGCAAACGAUGAUGGCGGGGAUCUUCCGGAACCAGAUGAUUUUUUUGGAGGUUUUUUAGGAGGAAAAAGUUGGUAGUUUUUGCCGGAACGGUAACGGCGAGUCACUUGCUCUUUUUUGUUUUUUGUUUUUGUUUUUUUUGGUGAACAGAGCAAGUGACUCGCCGUUACCGUUCCGGCAGAAACUACCAACUUUUUCCUCCUAAAAAACCUUCAGAAAAACUAUCUGGUUCCUGCAGAUCCCUGCCAUCACCGUUUGCUUCGCCAUCAUUGCCCUCCGACUUGCCGUUACUAUUCUUGCCAUUGGCUCCCUCCUUUGGCGAUGCUUGAGGAUAGGCAGGAGGAUCAUCGUUUGCUCCGGCACCAUUGCCCUCCAACUUGCUGUUACCGUUCUUGCCUUGGCUCCCUCCUUCGGCAGUGCUGGAGGACGAGCAGGAGGAGGAGGAAUUCCCUUUGGUAAGGAGUGUUUGGCAACAUACUCCACUACCUCUGUGAGGUAUUUCAUGUUCUCUGAGUUUUUUUCAGCCUCCCGAAGCAAAUACUGGAGUUGUUGUUCCACCUCAUUGUUCAAAAUGCCUUUUGCAGCUUCAUUGACUCCGCUUACCUUAGCCUUCAGAAAAGCUCGACGAGCUUUCACGACCAGUUGUGAAGGCCAAGUUAAGCUAUGCAAGGUGAUCUAUGAACCCUGUCCUCUCAGGCUGAGCAGCUACUUCGCUAUCAGAUAGUUGUUUGGGUGGGCGGUCACCCGAACGACAUCUUUUCGGUGGGACGCCGAAAUGUCAAGUUCUACCUUGACAUUUGGUGUUCGGGCCAUGGCUUGGGCUCCACUUCCGUCUCUUAUAGCACCCUUCAAUUUUCUUAACAGUUAAGCGAUGCUACCAGCGCGGAACGCCAUUCUGGGUUGCUUGGUUGAAACAGAAAAGAUGUGAGAGGGAGUGACGUGAGAGUGAUGAUGUGACUGUAAAGGCUUUUUUAUAAGUGAAAUUUUUUUUUGGGCUUUUUUCGUUGGAUUCUUUUUAUGGUGCUAAGAAGGCUAAAUUUUAAAAUUGAAUUUUGUGUCAAUAAUGUCUAGUCUAAUAGUGGUUAGCAAUCGAGCUUGGUCAUGCAAGUUACGAGUAGAAUAAAUGUGGUGAUGGUGCAUAAGAAAAUAAAAAAUAUAUACGUACAUUACAUGCAUCCACAUACCAUCGUGUCAGUUUAUACGAGAAAGUUUGUCAAUCUUUUUGUUUUCGGGUUUUCGAAUGAAUUCUUUAGGCAUAUUUUUCAAAAUGCAAGACUUGUAGAACUCCGUAGAUAUGACCUACGUGGAACUCCUGCUGAAAACAUUAAUCUUCCACCAGCCCUUUUGUCAAGAUUUGAUCUUUCUUGGUUAAUCCUGGAUCGAGCAGAUAUGGAUAGUGAUCUUGAGAUGGCUAGGCAUGUUGUCUAUGUCACCAGAAUAAAGAAUCUCCGGCUCUUGGCUUCACUCCACUUGAGCCAUCUGUUAUUCGGGCAUAUAUUUCUGCGGUGAGAAGAUUGUCUCCUUCAGUCCCACAGGAACUUGAGGAGUAUAUUACUAGUUCCUACUCUAGCAUUCGGCAAGAAGAAGCUAAAUCGAAUGCACCCCACUCCUAUACAACUGUGAGAACUCUGCUCAGCAUUCUUCGAAUAUCGGCUGUAAGUCCUGCUUUUCAUAUUUUCGUUUAUAUAAAUGCGGUUCCGUAAAUAUAUGCUGUGUAUCACAAAAGAAUGAGAUGGCAAGAAAUGAUACAGCAAUAUAUGCUGUGCAUAAAAAAUUACCGAGGUGGCGAAAUGGAAUAGUUUCUAGCCAUCUACAUUGGCAUAGGGUUUGGGGUGCAAGAAUGAUGUUCUGCCGUCUGCAUAUGUCGAAGUUCUCUUUGUGCUCAGAUGAUCGGCAGAAAUCUGGUCUGGAUCCUAUCAGUGAUAUCUAUUCAAUUUUGCGAGAUGAGUAUGAGACGACUGGCAAGCAGGAUGUGAGCUAUGCAAAUGCACUAAAUCUGAUUUCUAGGAAGAAGAUAAGGAAAGCAUUAACUUGUCCUCCAAGUAAAUACAAUCAUAAAAAAUAACUAGUAUUCAAAUCUAUCUAGGAUUUACACAAUCCCAAAUUAUCUACAAUGGUACCUUCAAAGGAAAACGUUAUGGGCUAUUCAAAAACGAUCUUAUCAUUUAUCAAGUAAGAUAAAUAUUAGUAAGUUUUUUAUAUUGAAAAAAAUAUUCAAGUUGGAAUAUGAAAAAAAAUUACUUAAACAUAUUUGGAAUGUUUUAUAUGAAUCUUAAGAAGCUUUCUUAGAAUACAUCGUUAAUGGUAACUAGGCGUGAUUAAUUUAAUUUGAGUGCCAUGGAAAUUUUUUUACCGCAUCAUAUAAAUCUACGUAGGUUUUAUCCUUUUAAAUUUACCCAUUUAUCUGUGCUAUACGAUAUGAUCUAAUUAUCUCAUCGUACAUUUCGGAAAGUGAUCCUCUCUGAAUCUCUUCCACCAAGAUCAUCGGAUCAAGUGAUCCGGGCCUUCCAAAUUUCAUCUAACGGGAAAAAUUUAUUACAAAUCUCGAUUAGCAAUUGAGUUGUGGAUUAUUGAUUAGAUUCAGUGGAUAGAACACGAUUUUGGACACGUCUUGUCCAACAUGUAUAGUUUUGUGUGUUUUUACCGUAGAAUUAAGAUGUAGGAUAUUGAAUACGUGUUUCAAAUAUUUAUGUAUCAAAUACGAAGAGAUUUUUUUCACUGGGUGUGGAACGCGUGUGUCUUAGAUCUCAUUUAAAUUAGGCCUCUUACCUUUCAUCAUUUAUCGUAUUGUUGAUCAAGAAGAGGAAAAAAAAUAUUUACCAUCACAUCUAUUUUUCUCAUUCCACCAAGCUCGAUCUUGAGACACUAAACAUUGUAGUUUGGAGAGUGAACAAAAAUGUUUACUAAUCCACCGCAAUCAUAAUCAAAAUAAGGAGUUGGUAUUUGUAGACAUACUAUAACUAUUCAUGUACACGCUAACUAUAAAAAAGACGAAACGCAACUGGAGCCCAUACAAACUAAGAAAUUGAUAUGUUAACUUUGGGUUUGAAGGAGCGGGUAUCUGACUUAGAAACAUCAAACACGCCAUUAAGAAUUAAUUAUGACCUUGCUCGAUUUCUCUAACUCUUUUGCCCAUUGUGCACGUACAUUUUCUAUGGUCGUAGAUCUCAAUGGCAAGGCUGAAAAUGAGUGGCCGAAUGAGCUCCCAUCGAAUCCCGAAAACAACAUUUGUGACACUGGAGUGAUGAGUAGGGGAAUCUAAGGGUACAACAAAGUGAAUCAAAUAUGUAAUAUUUGAUGUAACAGAAAACGUUAUAGUGCGAAUACAAAUUGGUACAUAUAAUUAGCAUGGGUAUAU